AAAAAUACAACCAGCCCUUUUCAUCGGCUUCAGCAUCGCCGACCAGACAAACCCUAGAUGGAUCUCCUCAAGCAAGAACUUCUCAAGAAACGUCAAUCCCUUGCUCAAGACACCGGCGGAAAACGAGUCUUCAAGCGCUCUGAAAUCCAACAAAAAGAAAUACAAAAGCUCCGCGAAGAAGAAAAGCGGGAAUUAGAAGCCAAAGCCCAACGCCAAACCGCAGCUGCCUCUACAACCACAA
rnacentral:misc_RNA from 1 species